rnacentral:misc_RNA from 1 species
AUCUCCCUACGCUCUCCCUCUCCAUUUUGUUUUCCAGCGUCCUCCCCCAACGCGUGCUGCCGCGAGCUUCUCCCUGCAUCCAUGGCCAGAUUUCCUGCAGUCCUGCUCGCGCCCUACUCCCUGCGCACUGCUCUGCUCGGAGCUCCCUGUCCGUCCUCUCUGCCAAGCGACUUUCCAGCGCGCGCUCAGCAGCUCCUCUGCUCCUUCCCUGCGCACAGCCGUAUUCCUCAAGCACCGUCCCGUGGAGCCCCUGUGCUCACCGGUCGUGAGCCCCUAUCCAUGGCCGCCGAAUAUGCUCC